rnacentral:sRNA from 12 species
UCACUGGCCUCCGAGUUAAAGUUUAACGGAAUCAGCCCAGUACCGGACACGACGAAAAGG